rnacentral:rRNA from 1 species
CCUACGGGAGGCAGCAGUAGGGAAUAUUGCUCAAUGGGGGAAACCCUGAAGCAGCAACGCCGCGUGGGGGAUGAAGGUUUUCGGAUUGUAAACUCCUUUUGUUAGGGAAGAUAAUGACGGUAUCUAACGAAUAAGCACCGGCUAACUCCGUGCCAGCAGCCGCGGUAAUACGGAGGGUGCAAGCGUUACCCGGAUUCACUGGGUGUAAAGGGCGCGUAGGCGGGAUAGCAAGUCAGAUGUGAAAUCCUAUGGCUUAACCAUAGCAGUGCAUUUGAAACUGUUUUUCUAGAGUAUGGGAGAGGUAUGUGGAAUUCGUGGUGUAGCGGUAAAAUGCGUAGAGAUCAAGAGGAAGACUGAUUGCGAAGGCGGCCUGCUAGAACAUAACUGACGCUGAUGCGCGAAAGCGUGGGGAGCGAACAGGAUUAGAUACCCUAGUAGUC